AACUUUUGGCAACGGAUCACUUGGCUCUCGCAUCGAUGAAGAACGCAGCGAAUUGCGAUAAGUAAUGUGAAUUGCAGAUUUCCAGUGAAUCAUCGAAUAUUUGAACGCAUCUUGCGCUCCUUGGUAUUCCGAGGAGCAUGCCUGUUUGAGUGUCAUUGAAUUAUCAACCAUUUUUCUCUUUCAAGGGGAAUGAAUGGCUUGGUGUUGGGGGUUGCUGGCACCGUCAGCUCUCCUUAAAUGCAUUAGCAAUCUAGGUUGGCUAGUCUGUGACGUGCACGGCCUCGGACGUGAUAAUGAUCGGUCCUGGCUGGAGCGUCUUUCCUUAGACUAGUGCACAUAGAUCGCUUCUAAUCAACUCGUCUAUCGAGCUUAGCUACUAGGCAGUCUUUUAGGCUGCCGAACACAAGCGAAGAGAAGAGACAUUUGACUUGACCUCAAAUCAGGUAGGACUACCCGCUGAA
rnacentral:misc_RNA from 1 species